CAGUCAUACCGAUGAGCAUUCAGCCUUUUGGGUGCGAUUACGUGGUACAUGGAAAGAUUUCACGGUUGCAUUUUCGUGCCUUUUGGGUGUACUUGUUCGUAUGGUAGGUUAACAUCAAUUUCGGUUAUCAUAACAUGGCGGGAGGAAUGUGGCUUCUCCGGAAGUGUUAUAGCCUCUGGUAGAUGUGAUGACUGAGAUUGAGGAUUGCAACGAAUACCCUUCCGGGCUACCUGUCUGGCCUCUGGUCGUCGCUUUGGUGCCGAAAGCGUGCUUAAUAGUAUCAAAGUAGGUGGUCAAAAGGUUAAACGGGGAUAAAUCCUUUAAGGUGUUGACGUAAU
rnacentral:rRNA from 1 species